rnacentral:rRNA from 1 species
GACAGAGGUGCCGAGCGUUAGGCGGAAUCACUGGGCUUAAAGCGUGUGUAGGCGGACUUCUAAGUACCUUGUGAAAUCCCACGGCUCAACCGUGGAACUGCUUGGUAUACUGGUCGUCUUGAGCCACUUAGGGGCUACCGGAACAAAUGGUGGAGCGGUGAAAUGCGUAGAUAUCAUUUGGAACGCCAAUGGUGAAAACAGGUAGCUGGGAGUGUGCUGACACUGAGACACGAAAGCCAGGGGAGCAAACGGG